rnacentral:rRNA from 1 species
UGGGGAAUUUUGGACAAUGGGCGCAAGCCUGAUCCAGCAAUGCCGCGUGCAGGAGAAGGCCUUCGGGUUGUAAACUGCUUUUGUACGGAACGAAAAGGCUCCUUCUAAUACAGGGGGCUAAUGACGGUACCGUAAGAAUAAGCACCGGCUAACUACGUGCCAGCAGCCGCGGUAAUACGUAGGGUGCGAGCGUUAAUCGGAAUUACUGGGCGUAAAGCGUGCGCAGGCGGUCUUGUAAGACAGAUGUGAAAUCCCCGGGCUUAACCUGGGACCUGCAUUUGUGACUGCGAGGCUGGAGUGUGGCAGAGGGGGAUGGAAUUCCGCGUGUAGCAGUGAAAUGCGUAGAUAUGCGGAGGAACACCGAUGGCGAAGGCAAUCCCCUGGGCCUGCACUGACGCUCAU